GUGGGGAAUCUUCCGCAAUGGGCGAAAGCCUGACGGAGCAACGCCGCGUGAGUGAAGACGGCCUUCGGGUCGUAAAGCUCUGUUAUAUGGGACGAACGUAUUUAUGGCCAAUACCCAUAGAUAGUGACGGUACCGUAAGAGAAAGCCACGGCUAACUACGUGCCAGCAGCCGCGGUAAUACGUAGGUGGCAAGCGUUGUCCGGAAUUAUUGGGCGUAAAGGGCGCGCAGGCGGCCGGUCAAGUCUGUCUUAAAAGUGCGGGGCUCAACCCCGUGAUGGGACGGAAACUGGCAGGCUGGAGUGUCGGAGAGGAAAGCAGAAUUCCUAGUGUAGCGGUGAAAUGCGUAGAUAUUAGGAGGAAUACCAGUGGCGAAAGCGGCUUUCUGGACGACAACUGACGCUGAGGCGCGAAAGCUAGGGGAGCGAACGGGAUUAGAAACCCGAGUAGUCC
rnacentral:rRNA from 1 species